rnacentral:rRNA from 1 species
AACGAACGCUGGCGGCAGGCUUAACACAUGCAAGUCGAGCGCCCCGCAAGGGGAGCGGCAGACGGGUGAGUAACGCGUGGGAACAUACCCUUUGGUUCGGAAUAACUCAGGGAAACUUGAGCUAAUACCGGAUACGUCCGUAAGGAGAAAGAUUUAUCGCCAAAGGAUUGGCCCGCGUCCGAUUAGCUAGUUGGUGAGGUAACGGCUCACCAAGGCUACGAUCGGUAGCUGGUCUGAGAGGAUGAUCAGCCACAUUGGGACUGAGACACGGCCCAAACUCCUACGGGAGGCAGCAGUGGGGAAUAUUGGACAAUGGGCGCAAGCCUGAUCCAGCCAUGCCGCGUGAGUGAUGAAGGCCUUAGGGUUGUAAAGCUCUUUUGUCCGGGAAGAUAAUGACUGUACCGGAAGAAUAAAGCCCCGGCUAACUUCGUGCCAGCAGCCGCGGUAAU